GACGAACGCUGGCGGCGUGCUUAACACAUGCAAGUCGAACGAAGAGCGAUGGAAGCUUGCUUCUAUCAAUCUUAGUGGCGAACGGGUGAGUAACGCGUAAUCAACCUGCCCUUCAGAGGGGGACAACAGUUGGAAACGACUGCUAAUACCGCAUACGAUCUAAUCUCGGCAUCGAGGAUAGAUGAAAGGUGGCCUCUACAUGUAAGCUAUCACUGAAGGAGGGGAUUGCGUCUGAUUAGCUAGUUGGAGGGGUAACGGCCCACCAAGGCGAUGAUCAGUAGCCGGUCUGAGAGGAUGAACGGCCACAUUGGGACUGAGACACGGCCCAGACUCCUACGGGAGGCAGCAGUGGGGAAUCUUCCGCAAUGGACGAAAGUCUGACGGAGCAACGCCGCGUGAGUGAUGACGGCCUUCGGGUUGUAAAGCUCUGCUAAUCGGGACGAAAGGCCUUCUUGCGAACAGUUAGAAGGAUUGACGGUACCGGAAUAGAAAGCCACGGCUAACUACGUG
rnacentral:rRNA from 1 species